AGAGUUUGAUCAUGGCUCAGGAUGAACGCUAGCGGCAGGCUUAACACAUGCAAGUCGAGGGGUAUAAGUUUUCGGAUUUAGAGAUCGGCGCACGGGUGCGUAACGCGUAUGCAAUCUACCUUUCACAGAGGGAUAGCCCAGAGAAAUUUGGAUUAAUACCUCAUAGUAUAGCUGAACCGCAUGGUUCUACUAUUAAAGUCACAACGGUGAAAGAUGAGCAUGCGUCCCAUUAGCUAGUUGGUAAGGUAACGGCUUACCAAGGCUACGAAGGGUAGGGGUCCUGAGAGGGAGAUCCCCCACACUGGUACUGAGACACGGACCAGACUCCUACGGGAGGCAGCAGUGAGGAAUAUUGGUCAAUGGACGCAAGUCUGAACCAGCCAUGCCGCGUGCAGGAUGACGGUCCUAUGGAUUGUAAACUGCUUUUGCACAGGAAGAAACAACUCUACGUGUAGAGUCUUGACGGUACUGUGAGAAUAAGGAUCGGCUAACUCCGUGCCAGCAGCCGCGGUAAUACGGAGGAUCCAAGCGUUAUCCGGAAUCAUUGGGUUUAAAGGGUCCGUAGGCGGUUUAGUAAGUCAGUGGUGAAAGCCCAUCGCUCAACGGUGGAACGGCCAUUGAUACUGCUAGACUUGAAUUAUUAGGAAGUAACUAGAAUAUGUAGUGUAGCGGUGAAAUGCUUAGAGAUUACAUGGAAUACCAAUUGCGAAGGCAGGUUACUACUAAUGGAUUGACGCUGAUGGACGAAAGCGUGGGUAGCGAACAGGAUUAGAUACCCUGGUAGUCCACGCCGUAAACGAUGGAUACUAGCUGUUGGAAGCAAUUUCAGUGGCUAAGCGAAAGUGAUAAGUAUCCCACCUGGGGAGUACGUUCGCAAGAAUGAAACUCAAAGGAAUUGACGGGGGCCCGCACAAGCGGUGGAGCAUGUGGUUUAAUUCGAUGAUACGCGAGGAACCUUACCAAGGCUUAAAUGUAGAUUGACCGGUUUGGAAACAGACUUUUCGCAAGACAAUUUACAAGGUGCUGCAUGGUUGUCGUCAGCUCGUGCCGUGAGGUGUCAGGUUAAGUCCUAUAACGAGCGCAACCCCUGUUGUUAGUUGCCAGCGAGUCAUGUCGGGAACUCUAACAAGACUGCCAGUGUAAACUGUGAGGAAGGUGGGGAUGACGUCAAAUCAUCACGGCCCUUACGCCUUGGGCUACACACGUGCUACAAUGGCCGGUACAGAGAGCAGCCACUGGGCGACCAGGAGCGAAUCUACAAAACCGGUCACAGUUCGGAUCGGAGUCUGCAACUCGACUCCGUGAAGCUAGAAUCGCUAGUAAUCGGAUAUCAGCCAUGAUCCGGUGAAUACGUUCCCGGGCCUUGUACACACCGCCCGUCAAGCCAUGGAAGCUGGGGGUGCCUGAAGUCGGUGACCGCAAGGAGCUGCCUAGGGUAAAACUGGUAACUAGGGCUAAGUCGUAACAAGGUA
rnacentral:rRNA from 1 species